AAGCAUUGCUGGCAGGAGCCCAAUUGCAAAUUUAAUUUUCUCAGGCCAAGUAAGCAUCUCGUUGUUCCUUAAAAUAGCCCAUAUCCCGUUUACGGGUGCAGGAAGUUUUUCAGGGAAAUCAAAUCGACUGAACUCCCCCGGCUUGUUUGGCAUAGCAAAUAUCAUUGAAUGUUCCUUCCACUGCAAUCGGUCAUUGAUUCCAAGUUCUCCAAACAAGUUCUGCACAUUGGGAUAAGCCCCAAAAAAUAUGUGCAGACCAGUCUCAUACCAGUCUCCAUCAUUAUCUUUCCAAGCAGCUACCUUUCCACCUAAAACAUCUCGAGCUUCUAGUAAAACAGGUUUGUGGCCAGCAUCUGCCAGAUAUUUUGCUGUCGAUAAACCAGCCAAUCCUGCACCAGCAAUCACUAUUUUCAAUGGUUUACUGGGACGUGCAGAAGCACGAAAACUAGCAGAUAAGGAAGCUGCUUCAAUGAAAUUAACAGUAUCAUCUAUCUGUGGUCUAGGGUAAUCCACGCAAACUACCUUUAGUGGUACGUUUCCUUUAGAUAGUUUCCUACUAACAUGUCUGCCAGAUACUUUCAAACCGUCGCCCACAAUCUCACUCCCCCAAAACGCUAAAGCAUUACUUUUCUCACAACUUAAUGGAGAACAGCAUCUCGAGGUUGCUUUUGGAAUACCUUUUUCCCACCUCAAGUUCAGAGCAGAGACAGACCCACAUAGUGACAUUUCACCAAAACCCCACUUCCCACAACUAAAUCUUAG
rnacentral:misc_RNA from 1 species